rnacentral:siRNA from 1 species
CAAUAAGCCCUAUAAUCUAGAUA